AAAACCCAACAAAGUUGAGAAAAAGAGGAUCGAUAAGGUUUGUUAUACAUAUACAUUCAUACAUAUAUAUAUACACACACACACUCUCUCUCUCUGCGUUUUUGGCAUUUCUGCUUCUCCGAGGAUCUAGAAGCAACAUAAGUAAAAAAUUGCUAUAAUCUUUUCAAGUUCUUCUCAAAAGAAAAUCCGGUGCCAAACAAAAGAAGACACAAUGGGACCCUCCAGUGCACCAAGGCGGCUUUCUGGGAUGCAGAAGCAAGUACUAAGUCUAUACAGAGGGUUUCUGAGGGCAGCCCGCACAAAAUCUGCUGAAGACCGGCAGCGGAUUGAGUCACUUGUAUCAAUUGAGUUCCGCCGCAAUGCAAAGGAAGUAGACCGCAAAAAUUUCCUCUACAUUGAGUACUUGCUGCGACGUGGUAAGAAACAGCUUGAUCAGCUCAGGAGCCCCGAUAUUGUUGGAUUAUCAGCUACAAAUGUCAGUUUCUCUCAAACGAAAGAUCCUACGCACUGAAGUAAGAGUUUCAUCUGUUCUUAUUUAUUUGUUGAGCCAAAUGUAGGUAAUGAAGGAGAAGCAAUAUUUGGCUGAAAGUUCUUAUUGUAUGCUAGUUAGAAAACUCCAAAUUAUGCAAUCUGUAUCGAUUAUCUUCCAAAUAAUGAUGAUACUUGAUUCCUUGUAAUCGCCCCAGUUCUGUUGUUUGUGUUGCUUAUUAUCAAUAAAAUUACGGAAUGAUUUAAGAGAA